UCUAUUUGUCUUAGGUGAGCUAAAUGUGUGCUGGGACACAUUUGAGCCAAAUGUCCCAGCACACAUUUAGCUCACAUAAGAAAAAUGAACUCUAGU
ensembl:miRNA